rnacentral:lncRNA from 1 species
AAUUAUAUAUAUGUCACCGUAAGAUUACAAACAUCGUUAGAUUACAAUCUAUCUCGAGAGAUUGUAAACUGUCGAAUUAUUGUAAACCGUAACACCUGAUUGCAAUUUAACGCAUUAUUUUUCGCUAUAUUAUAAUCUAUCGAUGAGAAAUUGUCAAAUUGUCAACUGUCCGAAAGCUCUCCCUGAUUGGUCAAUCUUUUUGUAAGAUCGAGAGCGAUGUAGAGCGGUCAAAUUGUCAACUGGCGUAGAACGGAAUGCAUCUUGCGCGCUGAUUGGUAGAACGUCAAAAAAGACAAUGUUCUUUGCAACUCCCGGUGUCACAGCUCUUUGACGUGCAAAAAUAAGUGACGGUUUAAUUUUUUAUAAAAUCAAAAAUUGUACUUAAUUUUUAAGACUCAAAUUACACACAAUUAAAAAUUGUAUUAAAAAUUGAAGUUAGUGACGAAAACGAAUCGCUGCAAAACCGACUCCACGUAGUCUUGUCUGCCCUACCCCUAGAGUCGGCCAGCAAGCCGAAGCUGCGGUGGUGAGCGUGAAAACCAUCUGCGACGAUAAGCUCGCAUGGGACCGCCGGAGCCCCGCAGCGCCGGAGCCGUGACAGAAGUUAUGCUUGCUGCAUGUUGCAUGCUUACUUCCAUGCUGGAGUUAUUUUUAUAUAAAUUUAAUACUUGAAGAAUUUUUGAA